CUGGACACUUGGACAACCACUAAGGCGUGGCGAGUCACUCGCCUUGAACAAGCACAGUGCGACGAGACAUCAAUUGUUAAAAGCGAAUACGAUUAUCCAAGAUUCACCGGAAUGGAAACCAUCCUACGACCAGGGAAGAGCGCAGUCCAGUUUGAUUUACUUCAUGCUGACCGAAGCUACAACAGCGGAAAUCGAGGAAGUUUGCGGUUAUGCAGCAAAUUUCGAUAGCUAUUGGUCGGAAUCCAACUAAUAAUCUGCAUCUGAGAACCUUUAUCGAAAAUCCUGAUAUUCCGCGCUUGCCCGCCGGAGUCCUUUACGAAAAAUUUGGCAACGGUGGCACGCGGUGCUGGUUUGUUGAUCAAGACGGUCAAAAACUUCGGCAUCAUGCGUAACGUGCCGCGGAUUGGUGCUUGAUGCCCGUCACCUGAGACGAGGGGGGAAUUAUUAUAGCCCACGGCAAGGCUGUGUUGCUCAAAAGGUGGACCGAUACUCAACGUUUUUCAGUUACGAGCUAACGGCGCUUCCAUCAGCGAUUUCAAGUGGCCAAAAUUAAUCAUCGAAGGUGCAUGUGCAUGUUCCUAGGCGUAUUGAUCAGCCCAAGGACAUUUUGUGAUGGUCACAUUUUCAUUGGUG